GGACAAAAUUAUAAACACAACACUUUUGUUUUUGCCCCCAUUUUUCAUGAGCUGAACUCAAAGAUCCAAGACUUUUCCUAUGUACACAAAAGGCCUAUGUCUUUCAAAUAUUGUUCACAAAUCUGUGUAAAUCUAAAUCUGUGUUAGUGAGCACUUGUCCUUUGCUGAGAUAAUCCAUCCACCUCACAGGUGUGCCAUAUCAAGAUGCUCACUAACACAGAUUUAGACAGAUUUGUGAACAAUAUUUGAGAGACAUAGGCCUUUUGUGUACAUAGAAAAAGUCUUAGAUCUUUGAGUUCAGCUCAUGAAAAAUGGGGGCAAAAACAAAAGUGUUGCGUUUAUAAUUUUGUUCC